rnacentral:rRNA from 1 species
AUUGAACGCUGGCGGCAGGCCUAACACAUGCAAGUCGAACGAGUGGCGGACGGGUGAGUAAUGUCUGGGAAACUGCCUGAUGGAGGGGGAUAACUACUGGAAACGGUAGCUAAUACCGCAUACUAUCAGAUGUGCCCAGAUGGGAUUAGCUAGGUGGUGGGGUAACGGCUCACCAAGGCGACGAUCCCUAGCUGGUCUGAGAGGAUGAAAGGCCAAACUGGAACUGAAACAGGGUCCAGACUCCUAGGGGAGGCAGCAGUGGUGAAUAUUGCACAAUGGGCGAAAGCCUGAUGCAGCCAUGCCGCGUGUAUGAAGAAGGCCUUGGGGUUGUAAAGUACUUUCAGCGGGGAGGCGUUACCCGCAGAAGAAGCACCGGCUAACUCCGUGCCAGCAGCCGCGGUAAUAC